rnacentral:tRNA from 1 species
AGCCCUGGGGUGUUACACGCAGGAUUGCAAAUCCUGAGAUGCAGAUUAAAAGUCUGCCGGGGCUU